ACUUCAGGUGUCACAGCUCUUGGCUUGUCUCAACCAUGGCUCUGAUUUCUCUCCUUCUUCCUUUCCUCACUGUUGUCACAGGUUCUCUGGCCUCCUAUGUGCUGACCCAGAUUCCCUCCAUGUCUGUGGCUCUGGGGCAAACAGUCACCAUCACCUGUGCAGGAGAUCAGCUGGAUGAUAAGUAUGCUCAUUGGUACCAGCAGAAAAGGAGCCAGACUCCUCCUAAGCUUGUCAUUUACGAGGACAAGGAAAGACCAGAGGGCAUCUCUGACCGAUUCUCAGGCUCCAGCAGCAACAAGGUGGCCACAUUAACCAUCUCUGGGGUCCAGGCUGAAGAUGAGUCUGAUUACUACUGUCUGUCAGUUGAUGGUAAUACCAAAGCUCACAAUGAUGUAAAGAGAUGAGGAAGUGAGACAAAAACCUUUGUCUGACCUCUACCUCCGCUUGGGCUUCUCUGUUUCAUUUCCUUUCUACUGUUGGGCCCAGGGAGGGCCUACAGGGAGCUCCAUACUCUCUGUUCUAUGCCUUCUCCUUUAAAGAUAACUCCCUCAUUGCUCAAACACAGACCUUUUCUUUUCAUCCAAGGCCUUGAUCCACCAACUCCCUUAGGCUAUAGGGGAUCUGGUCUUAGAUGUGGCCUUGGACCCUGUGUAAAUGGAAUUAUCCUCCUUCAUUUAUUUUAACUUAAUCAAGAACUUGGAGUAUUCCUCCUUUCACACUUAGUUAACAUUUUUUGGAAAAGGAAAUUCACACCCUGAAAGACUGGAAGUGGGUCCCACAAGCACCCCCCACCCGAACCCCAGGCAGUGCCAGGCAAAUUCAGAAACUAUGAUUGGUUCUGAGAUGUGAUAGACCAGCGCAUAGUGAAAGGAAAUAGAAACCAGAGAGAUAGGAAGUGACAUGGGAAAAGGAUUAUAAAAGGUGAGACUGGACAGCUGAACAGGGACUUCCAUGUUGGAGGGAUUCUGCUGCAUUGGUUUCUCUGUGUUGGGUUUCAUUCUGUGUUGGUUGCUCGAGGAGUUUGGCUUUGGUGAUUUGCUUGGGUUAAGGACACCCUGGCCAAAGACACUGGCCUUCUCCUGCUCUUCUCCUGUCUUUGGUGUGAUGUUCUCUUUGGUGAAGCUCAGUCUUUGCAGCAUCAGACUCUUGUGGGCUGGUGAGAUUCACAUUCAGGUUUGCACUGGUGGUCUGGAGGCACUUGGAUUGGGACUUACGGUAUUUAGCUAGGCAAUGUUCUCUACCUCCUUUCUAUAUUUCUCUCUCUUUACUGUCUCUACUUUUGCUGUAAUAAAGCUACUAAAGCUAGUAAGAUACUCAUAGUUUAAUUUUAAAUUAUUUUAAAUGGUGACCACAACUUUUUAGAACUGUUAAUUUGACCAAAACCCAUUGUAAUUCUUACUACCCUGCUCUCACUCAGGUUUCCUAGGCCUGCUGCCUCUGAUCAGAGUCCAGAGCAAGGAGACCUGACCUCUGAUGGUGGAGGUGGCAAUGAGGAGAGAGCUAAGGAUCUGAAUUAGUCUGGUCCUCAAUGUCUUCCUAUAUAAGCUUUCCAUGAUGACAGAGGCAAACAUUGAGUCAGCAAACAUUUAUUUAGAGCUUACUUUGUGCCAGACCCUGUGGUGAUCCCUGGGGGUACAGAGGCAAAAAGGAAACAGUCUGUUCACUCAGGGAGCUCCCAACCUACUAGUGGAAAAGCAGGAUGUGCACAGAUGAAUACAGAAUAUUUAUAAAGAAAACCCAGAGUUAUUUCAGGGUAGGGCAUUAACCACUAUGGCAAUAAGGAAAGACUUGUAGUAAGAAGUGACACUUGGACAGAGCACUGAAAGGUACUUGGACCUCUUGGACCUGGUAAGCAGAAGAGAACUGGAAGAUGAUAGCCUAAGCAAAGAGAGAGACAAGAGGGGAAAGGCCACACAGGCUGGCAAUAGAAAGUUGACCAGUUCAUCUAAAAGGAAGAAUGUUUGAGGCUGGAUGGUGUGGAAUGGCUCUGAUAUGGGAGACUGAAGAGAGAGCAUGAAUGGAUCUAAUGUAAAUAUUUUUCCCUAGAAGUAAUAGAGAACCUCUUAAGAAGAGGUUAAGAAGACUCUUAGAGUUAAGUCACUCUUCUUAAGAAGAAGAGUGACAUGUAUCAGGAUCCUUUCCUGAUCCCCUCCUCCCAAGGGUACAGUGUUUUCCCCAGAAUCUUCCCUGACUGCAGGAUGGAUAGAGAAGUGAGGCAUUGCCCUGGGAGGGUAAUGAGAAGGCUAAAUCUGAGACCGAGCGAGAUUAGCCAGGAGAGUAGAGGAUAAGGAAUUAGAGGAGAUUUUAAACAUUUUGUUGGUACAUUUCGUUUCAACAUUGCAAAUAUUUUCUGACUGCUAUCCACUCCAUGAGAGCUCUCUUGUUAAUAAUGUAAAGUAACUAAUUAAAGUGACCUCAUUAGACAAUGAAAUCAACAUCAUGGAACUCAUCACUUCUCUAUUGAAAAAGGUUCAAGAAAUGUCUAUUAUCUCUCCUUCCUAACCCUUUGAAAAGUAAGAGAAAAACCAAUUUCUUGUAACAAAUAUGACUAGUCAAGCAAAACAAUUAUAUUUCCUGCUGUUUUAUCAUUGGCUGUACGUAUGUUGGGGUUUCUGUGUGCCUCAUUCUGCUUCCUAAACCUAUCACCUCUCUGCCAUGGAGAGCAUAUCUUACUCUCAAGUGAGAUUACAAAAUGGGAUUACAAAUCACCAUUGUACAGAUGAUAAUUGUUUUAGUUUUCAGAAUUCUUUGUCUUUCCUGUUGUCACAAUAUAUAAUACUCUACUGGUUCUCCUCAAAGGCCAAAGGGAGGAGCCAUUUUGCCCCCAUUUCUGUGAAUGAUUCCCUCCUCCAGCACUACCUUAAGGCCUUUCAUCUCUCUGAUGAUGACCCAACACAGAUUUAUGCCAGGAGAUUGCCUGAAGGUUUGCAGCUGGUGGAACUGUGCUAAUUACUUUACAAAUAAUAAUUAAAAAAAUUAAUGCUUUUACUUGGGCUCCAUCAUGGAGGGGCUAUAAAGCAAUUAUUAAAGACUUUGUUUUUGUUGGUACUUGGCUCACUAGUGGAAAUGCAAAUAAACGUAAACAAGAUAGCCUCUAUCUUCAAGAAGCUGGUAUUCUGUUGAUGAAUUAAAUACAUAAAGGAAUGGUGGUGGUGGGGGAACAGAGAAUCAUGGAGCAGCUGCUAUAAUUUGGACAUGUGGAAGGUCUCUGAUCCUAGGCAGAAGUGGACAAGGGCUCACCUGAAAGGGAGCAGAGUGUCUCCAGGGCACAUGGAAUGGGAAGGUUGAGUAUGAGAAUAUAAAAGAUCAAGGGGUGGAGGGGAUCCCAUCUUCUGGGCGAAAAGGAGAAAUAAUUGGAGAAAAACAGGAAAGAUUUUGUUGAAAAAAUUGUUGAAAGUUGAAAGGACCUUCCCAGGGA